rnacentral:lncRNA from 1 species
CAAAAUUAAAUUUUAGGAAAGAUGCAUGUACUAGUUAUAUCAUUGCCUUUGGCUAUAUUAGGAGUGAUACUAUUAGCUCUUCUUUGUUACUUCUUUGGUAGAUCAAGGGGUAGAUGGUGAGAAUGGAGGAAAGUUUUUCUAUGGAAAAUAAUUUUCUAUCUUGAUGUGAAAUAGGGUGAGGUUCGUAUAGCAUUUCUUUAAAUUAAAGAGUAUAUAUAUAGUCUAUUGUAGAGAGUUUUUCUUGGUUUUUCAUUCGGUAUUCGUGUCCGCAUUGAAGCUCCGACUAAUUUAAAUCACGCGUUGCAGGCCCAUUAAUAGAUCAAGGAGUUGAUGAUGAUUGUGUUUGAUCAUUCGAAUUAUGGCUCCUCUAAGUUCUUGUUCUAUGUAAUAGAACCCAAAAAAAAAAAAAGAAUGAAUGAAACUGUUUCAAUCAAAAAUAACCUCUCUAUCUCUUUUAUCCUCUAUAAUAAUAGAGUAAGGUUCACAUACACUUUGUUACUUCUUUGGAGGUGAUAUAAGUAUUCAAAAUAUGAUUUAUUAUGGCUCCUCCAAGUUCAUGUAUAUCUUAUUUAUUUCUUGAUUUUGUACUUUUUAAAAUAAUAAAUUUGUAUCAUAUGAUAUUGUUGUGUCUUGCCGAAUGGAUACAUAUACACUGUUAUUUAUAUAAAUUGUUGAAUUUCCU